GGUAACUGUGAACCCUGCUGCUGCUUCUGCUAUGUCACUUCAGUCGUGUCCGACUCUGUGCGACCCCAUAGACGGCAGCCCACCAGGCGCCCCCGUCCCUGGGAUUCUCCAGGCAAGAACACUGGAGUGGGUUGCCAUUUCCUUCUCCAGUGCAUGAAAGUGAAAAGUGAAGUUGCUCAGUCGCUCAGUCGUGUCCGACUCUUCACAAUCCCAUGGACUGCAGCCCACUAGGCUCCUCCGUCCAUGGGAUUUUCCAGCCUCUUCCUGAUGGGAAGAGCAACCCCUCGUUUUCAGAUAUUGUUCUAAAUAAUCAAUCUAACUAGAGGCUGAUAUGUUUGGGAGUCUGCUGACCUGGCUCAAUUAAUUCAUGAAAAGAGACUGUGAACUAGAGAUAUGGGCAGCCAGAAAGUCAUGGAGAAGCCAGUCCAAAAGAAUGGAGCCAAUAGGAAAGGCAAAGCAUAACCAAGUAUGGUAAUGACCACCUUGCAGGUGGUUGUGAGGACAAAACAGGUGGCUCAGCGGUAAAGAAUCCACCUGCAAUUCAGGAGUUGUGGGUUCGAUCCCUGGGUCAGGAAGAUCCCCUGGAGAAGGAAAUGGCAACCCACUCCAGUAUUCUUACCUGGACAAUCCCAUGGGCAGAAGAGCUUCGAGGGCUAUAAUCCAUGGGGUGGCAAAAGAGUCGGACACGACUUAGUGACUAAACAACAACAACUCUUUGGCAAAGGGAACUAUGCUCAGUAUCUUAUAAUA
ensembl:lncRNA